GAUGGAAUCUUGAUUGACUGAGUGGCGGACGGGUGAGUAACGCGUGGAUAACCUGCCUCACACUGGGGGAUAACAGUUAGAAAUGACUGCUAAUACCGCAUAAGCGCACAGUGCCGCAUGGCAGUGUGUGAAAAACUCCGGUGGUGUGAGAUGGAUCCGCGUCUGAUUAGCCAGUUGGCGGGGUAACGGCCCACCAAAGCGACGAUCAGUAGCCGACCUGAGAGGGUGACCGGCCACAUUGGGACUGAGACACGGCCCAAACUCCUACGGGAGGCAGCAGUGGGGAAUAUUGCACAAUGGGCGAAAGCCUGAUGCAGCGACGCCGCGUGAGUGAAGAAGUAUUUCGGUAUGUAAAGCUCUAUCAGCAGGGAAGAAAAUGACGGUACCUGACUAAGAAGCCCCGGCUAACUACGUGCCAGCAGCCGCGGUAAUACGUAGGGGGCAAAGCGUUAUCCGGAUUUACUGGGUGUAAAGGGAGCGUAGACGGCAAGGCAAGUCUGAUGUGAAAACCCAGGGCUUAACCCUGGGACUGCAUUGGAAACUGUCUGGCUCGAGUGCCGGAGAGGUAAGCGGAAUUCCUAGUGUAGCGGUGAAAUGCGUAGAUAUUAGGAAGAACACCAGUGGCGAA
rnacentral:rRNA from 1 species